rnacentral:ncRNA from 1 species
UGACCCCAACUCAGGCGAGAACACCUGUAUAAUUAAGCGGAGGAAAAGAAACUUACAAGGAUUCCCCUAGUAACGAUGAGCGAACCAGGAAGAGCCCAACAUGAAAAUCGGGUGGUAGCGCCACCUGAAUUGUAAUUUGUAGAAGCGUUCUUAGCGGCGGAUCGGGCCCAAGUCCCCUGGAAGUAGGCGCCUGAGAGGGUGACAGCCCCGUUGGACCGUGACCCUGCCACACCAUGAGGCAUUGUCGGCGAGUUGGGUUGUCUGGGAAUGCAUCCCUAAUCGGGCUAAGGCUAAAUACUGGCGAGAGAACGAUAAUUAACAAGUACCGCGAGGGAAAGAUGAAAAGGACUCUGGAAAGAAAGUUAAAGAGUGCUUUAAAUUGACGGGAGGGAAUCAGAUGAAGAACGACUCAAGCUGGUCCACCGCUCGACUUGAGGUGCGAACCAGCACAGGCCGUUGCAUCGACACAAGCGCGAGUGGAGUACUGCCUGUUGGUUUUCCGUCGUGGCGGUCAAGAAACAAAACGUGCGCCCUUGGGGCAGGCCACUGUGCACCUGCACGCUCAUGGUGUUGGUUGGUGGGCUUUCCAUUUGACCCAUCUUGAAACACAAACCAAAGAUUCUAACAUGUGUGCGAGUCUGUGGGUUUGUAAACCUGCAAGGCAUAAGGAAGUUGACGGGCAAGAUCCCCUCUCCAUGGGGUGCAUUGUUGAUCGACCUUGAGCUUGUGCAAAGGGUUUGAGUGUGAGAACACCUGACGCAAUGACAUAUAUUAAAGAAAACCUGUUGAAUUUCAUACUUGAGGACGACUAUUUCUACAACGGAGGACUUCACAAUUCCAUGAAAAAUGAAUUCCUUAAGGCUGAUAGCGCGCUUGCGAAGCUCGCGAGCUGUGUCGAUAUGAUCUCCAGGGCGACGACCCUUGUGGAAAUAGUGUCGAGGAGGUCUCUGCUGGUUGAAAAUGUCGGUGACUAUCAGACGAUAUUGGGAAAAAGGUGGGGAAGAGCUGUUCAACUGUCGAGUGAUCACAAGUCGACUUCGAGCACCGAGAGGAAACAGAUUGAAUCCCUGGGGGGUUUCAUGGAGAGUGUAUAUAUAAAUGGGGAGUUGAGGGUUUCCAGGGCACUCAGGGACUCGCAUUUGUAAGGGAGAGUUGCCGGGUAUUUGAGUCCUCUGAGCACCGAGCCAGAGGUGCUGGAUUUGGAAUUGAGCGAGGAGGACGAGUUCGUCAUAAUUGCCUCCGACGACCUUUGGGAUGUCGUGAGCAGUGAGUCAGCGGUCGGGAUUGCGAGGAGACAGCUGAUGUCGAACAAUGACCCCGACAGUUGUUGUAAAGUGUUGGUCACCGAGACACUCCACAAGCAUUCGGUUGAUAACCUUACAGUGGUAGUCGUCUGUUUUUCCAUCGGACCACUGCGCAGGAAGUUGUUCUGCAAUUCGAGAGUUUGGAGGAAUACGAGUGCUGCCUCUAAUUUAUGAGUUUCUCGUUUCCAUGAGUUGUAGUUCAUGAGACAAUAAUUAAGAAUAUGUUUCCAACAAUUCAAGUCCAUUCGUGGAUCUACAUAUCUGUCUGUUUUGACGGAUGAAACACCACCCUUGAAUUCAAUAAUAAAUUAUUUAUGGUUUCAAAGCUGUCUUUCACUGGUGAAAAUGUCAUUGACAGUCUAUCGUUAAUGGUUGCAAUAAAUUGUUGUGUUUCAAUAAGAACUAGGGUUGGUACAUGCAUGUUUGCUAUGUAUAUUGAUGUCAAUAGAUUAAAUUGAUAA